rnacentral:tRNA from 1 species
AGGCGCGUAGCUCAGUGGUUAGAGCGCUACCUUGACACGGUAGAGGUCAGGGGUUCGAUGCCCCUCGUGCCUA